GUCCACGCUGUAAACGAUGAGUGCUGGACGUUGCGGAGCUUGCUCUGCGGUGUCGUAGCUAACGCGCUAAGCACUCCGCCUGGGGAGUACGGCCGCAAGGUUGAAACUCAAAGGAAUUGACGGGGGCCCGCACAAGCGGUGGAGCAUGUGGUUUAAUUCGACGCAACGCGAAGAACCUUACCAGCCCUUGACAUGCCGUGCUACCGCCAGAGAUGGCGGGUUCCUUCGGGACGCGGACACAGGUGCUGCAUGGCUGUCGU
rnacentral:rRNA from 1 species